UCAAAUGAAUUUUGCUCAACUUCACUGUUCUGUUUAAGAUCAAUGUGUUUGGGUUUCCUCUGAAACUUUCUAAUGUGUGGAUGGCUAAAUUUCAUAGGAAAAUGUGAGGCAUUUCUUUACAGGUUACAAAUUAUACAGUCUUUUUUAUGAGAAAUUCUCAAUUUCUUUCUUGUUAAAAGUUUUUUUUUUAUCUCAACCUUUAUUACAGAAAUAGCAAAAGCUAACAAAACUUCCAACAGGUACAGGAGUGUCAUUUCAAAGAACACUAUAAGAAAGAAUGUAGCUACUUUGGAGCACGAGAUUUUUCCUUCAGAAGACAAGAAAGGAAGGAUAAAAAAGGCAUAUGCGUAAAAUAUUAUAGCAAAUUCGGAAGGAUGUAGAUUUUUAGCGACUAGAGACCAUAAGAAUUGAUAUUGACUUAAAAUAAGAAAACAAGUGUGAAUGUGUGAUUGUCAUGUAAUGUUAGAGAUAAUUGGUGGAGAGUGAAAUGCACUUAUAGUACUUGCAAUAAUGCGGAAUUUAUAUUUUUACCCGAAUGAAAGAUUUUAUUUCUCUCUUGAGAAGAUAUUUAAGAGCAU
rnacentral:lncRNA from 1 species